CAGGGAAUAGUUUAAAAAGAAUUUUA
rnacentral:tRNA from 1 species